CUGAGACAAUUUCAAGCUAUCGUGUUGUUCAGCAGCCAGCUGUUCUAGAUCUAUCCCGUCCAGCAGAGUCAGAUACUCUGCAGUGUUCACUCCUUUCUCUGCCUGAGGAAAACACCUGUUCAGGAGAACCCAGUGUGUUCUGGUUAAGGACCAAACUAGGCAAGUCUGUUCCAGAUCUCAUCUUCACUGAUGGAAAAACACCUGAAAAUUGUGAGAAGCCAUCAAACGCUGAAAAGAGAUGUAGUUAUAACUUCUCUAAGAAGGUCUCCCCUUCUGAUCUUGGAACAUACUACUGUGCAGUGGCCACAUGUGGAGAGAUAUUACUUGGAGAUGGAACCAGAGUCGAAAUUGCUCAUUCAUUAAGUGGCAUGUCUUUGGUAAUAACAAUGAUCUGCUUGGCCAUAUCUGUGCUUUUGAAUAUUGGCUUAAUUUGUUGCCAAACUCACAGAAGAUCACUCAAAAACAGAGAAAGAUCUUCUUCACAAACAAAACAUAACCACACAAGGCAACCUGAUGAUUUUACAGAAGAAGGAGAGCAUCUGACCUAUGCUGCCUUACAUUUCUCUACAGGGACGACGAACAGGAGAGAGUUGAAGACUAAAGAAAGUGUGUAUUCAAACGUCAGACUGAGUCAUUUAGAGAAUACAUCCUGAUGAAGCUCAUUUGUCUUAUUAAAUAUACCUCAAUAGACAACCUAUACAAAGAUAAUUCAAUAUAUUAAAUUAACACCAUAUUUCUGUGCUUCAGAUUUGUUUAUUGGUCUGUAGUGAUCUCAGUUGUCAUAUCUUCAUUAAGUGGAAAAAUGUCAUGAUUAUAGUAUGUUUGGAAAAA